AGAGUUUGAUCCUGGCUCAGGAUAAACGCUGGCGGCGCACAUAAGACAUGCAAGUCGAACGGAAGUCGUUAUAAAAGGAGAGAAGAUUUGUCGGAUUGAAUUUUAUAACAAUGGCUUUAGUGGCGGACUGGUGAGUAACGCGUAAGGAACCUACCUAUUAGAGGGGAACAACAAUGAGAAAUCAUUGCUAAUACCGCAUAUGCCAUAACUACCGCAUGGUAGAAGUGGGAAAGGAGUAAUCCACUGAUAGAUGGCCUUGCGUCUGAUUAGUUAGUUGGUGGGGUAACGGCCUACCAAGACGACGAUCAGUAGCCGGACUGAGAGGUUGAACGGCCACAUUGGGACUGAGAUACGGCCCAGACUCCUACGGGAGGCAGCAGUCGGGAAUAUUGCGCAAUGGAGGAAACUCUGACGCAGUGACGCCGCGUGCAGGAAGAAGGUUUUCGGAUUGUAAACUGCUUUAGACAGGGAAGAGAAAGGACAGUACCUGUAGAAUAAGCUCCGGCUAACUACGUGCCAGCAGCCGCGGU
rnacentral:rRNA from 1 species